rnacentral:rRNA from 1 species
UACGUAGGGGGCGAGCGUUGUCCGGAUUUAUUGGGCGUAAAGAGCUCGUAGGCGGCUUAGCAAGUCGGGUGUGAAAACUCCAGGCUCAACCUGGAGACGCCACUCGAGACUGCUAUGGCUAGAGUCCGGUAGGGGACCACGGAAUUCCUGGUGUAGCGGUGAAAUGCGCAGAUAUCAGGAAGAACACCCGUGGCGAAGGCGGUUCUCUGGGACGGUACUGACGCUGAGACGCGAAAGCGUGGGGAGCGAACAGG